rnacentral:rRNA from 1 species
GACGUAGGGCGCGAGCGUUGUCCGGAUUUAUUGGGCGUAAAGAGCUCGUAGGCGGCUUGUUGCGUCGGCUGUGAAAACCCGCGGCUUAACCGCGGGCCUGCAGCCGAUACGGGCAGGCUAGAGUUCGGUAGGGGAGACUGGAAUUCCUGGUGUAGCGGUGAAAUGCGCAGAUAUCAGGAGGAACACCGGUGGCGAAGGCGGCUCACUGGACCGGAACUGACGCUGAGGCGCGAAAGCGUGGGGAGCAAACGGG